rnacentral:rRNA from 1 species
GAUGAACGCUAGCGGCAGGCUUAAUACAUGCAAGUCGUGGGGCAGCAGGACUGUAGCAAUACAGUUGCUGGCGACCGGCAAACGGGUGCGGAACACGUACGCAACUUACCCUGAACUGGGGGAUAGCCCGGGGAAACCCGGAUUAAUACCCCGUAAUAUAAUGGAGUGGCAUCACUUUAUUAUUAAAGCUCCGGCGGUUCGGGAUGGGCGUGCGGCUGAUUAGGUAGUUGGUUGAGGUAACGGCUCACCAAGCCUACGAUCAGUAACUGGUGUGAGAGCACGACCAGUCACACGGGAACUGAGACACGGGCCCGACUCCUACGGGAGGCAGCAGUAAGGAAUAUUGGGCAAGGGAGGCAACCCUGACCCAGCCAGGCCGCGUGAGGAUGAAGGCCCUCUGGGUUGUAAACUUCUUUUAGAGGGGACGAAACCUGUGUAGUCUUACGCAGUUGACGGUACCCUAGGAAUAAGCACCGGCUAACUCCGUG